rnacentral:rRNA from 1 species
GACGAACGCUGGCGGCGUGCUUAACACAUGCAAGUCGAACGGUGAAGCGCCUUCCUUUCUGGUGGGAGGGGAUGGGUGGCGAGCGGGUGAGUAACACGUUAGCAACCCUCCCCCACCUGCUUAAUAACCGCAAGAAGGAGUGACUAAUACAGGAUAUUCUGGGUCGGUCGGAUCAUGGGUGUAGGACAGAUUUUGUUUCGGUUGGGGAUGGGCUCGCGGCCUAUCAGCUUGUUGGUGAGGUGAUGGCCUACCAAGGCGGUGACGAGUAGCCGGCCUGAGAGGGUGGACGGUCACACUGGGAAUGCGACACGGACCAGCCUCCUACGGGAGGCAGUAGGGGGGAUUACUGCACGAGGGGAGCAAGGCUGGUGCAGCGCCGCCGCGUGGGGGAUGGACUCCGUCGGGUUGUGCACCGCUUUUGCCAGUGAAGCAGGGCGGCCUCGUUUGUGGGUGGGUUGACGGUAGCUGGAUAAGAAGCGCCGGCUAACUACGUG